CGAUGACAUCACACACUGUAAUACUGUCAGAGGUACUGCUUUACGGCAGUUUCUAAAGCACUUCCCUUGUCCCGCAACGAUAACACCAGCUGUUGGAGUCGGACCUUGAUGCUGUGACAACGGACAAGUCUUCUUCCUCUGUCCUUUUCCCCUGCCUCUGUUCAGGUGAUGUUCAGCACAUGAAGCCCUACAGAUGCCGCCGAUUCAACAAUGCUGAUUAUGAUGGGCGGUGAAUUUAACCUGUAUGGCUUUUUCGUUUUAACUUCUUGUUGACUGAAUUGUUUCUCUUUCUUAGUGCCAAAUUGAUUCUCUUUCUUAGUGCCAAAUUGAUUCUUUUUUGUUUUGCAAUAGCCGUCUCUGCUCUCCUUCUCAUUAAUUUUUCCUUUUCUAGUUGCCUUAUUAUGUCCUCCACAGUCGCCCCAUCAGUCCCUGGCAGUCUGGUCCCUGGAGCAGCUGGCCCUGGCAAAAGUUAUUCCUUCACUGUUGACCCCUGACUGACUGGCCCUCGGCACACAAAUCCCUGGAUCACCCGCCACUGGAUCACCUGCCACUGGAUCACCUGCCCCUGAAUCACCUGCCCCUGGCAAAGUGGCCUCUUGAUUGCUCUCUCUGUCUCCUGUGAUGUCCUUUUCAACGCUCGUGAAAUCCACCUAAAUUUCUCCCUCAAUCUCUGUAACAAUUACAAGGUAAUGUUGUUGUUAUAUGUAUUUUGCCUUUGCAUUUGCAACUACUGUCAUCUCCAAUGUAAGAAAAUGAAUUAAAGCUAAACAUUUCUGUAAUGUGAAUUAAAUCAUCUGCCACAAUCAGAAACCAAUACAAUUUAUAAAUGGAUCUAGCGGCAAUUGUUAAUUGGGUAGAAAUGUGUUGAUUAUCUACAUUGUGUGCAAAUCCUCAGAGAAUCCCUGCCUUCGGGUUUUUUUAAACUGAAUGUACAAAUAUGAAUUAUGUAAUCUCAUUAGGAGUGUAGUCUAUCCUUGAAUUACAUGAAAUGGGGAAUAUUGUUAGCUGCAUGGAUCAUACCGAAGUUUAAUUUGGCGCAAUAUGUGUGGUCCGUUGCACUUGGUUCCGGAGGCACCCUCACAGAAGGGGGGUUUCCUCCUCUUCGGUUUAGGGCGAUGGAUGAAAACUGUUGGGCCUGCAUCGGGCCUCAACUUCAACAUCCUAUCUACUUUUGUGGCUUUGAAUUGGUCAUUUCCAAAGUGUACCUGUAGGUAGGCUUUAAUAUCAGUUUCCAUUGCACUUCAAAUAUCAUUGGAAAGUCAUAAUUCUCUACACUUAGAAUUAUUAUGCCCUUUGAAAUGCUAGCAAGUGAUCUGAACUUUACGUUACAUCGUUUUUGACUGUUGCUGACUGACAAUAAGUUUUGACGGCUGACCAUUGCCAUCCAUUUCUCCCUGCGCUCUUGGUCCUUGGGGAAGCCGUGAUAACCUUUCUCGGACCGAUUGGAGCAUCCAAAUGCUGCACAGCCAACCAUGGUAUGACCAUUGAUCUAUAAAAUGUUAGUUGUAACCAAUGAACAAUGACACCAUUGAAGAUCACAGAGCGGGUAACAACUGUUCCUCAACCACUUAUGCCCCGACUUUUGAGAAUAGGUUAGAGGUCAGAGUUCAUGACCAAACGAGGAUCCUCCCUCCUAAAUCCAUUUUGAAUUUCCUAGGGCUAUUCUAAGUAUUGUAAUGGCAUAAAGUAUAGUAUAUUUGCAACGUUAUAUGUUAAUGGUUUGCCCUAAGUAUAUAGUGUUCCCUGCUGUGUCCAUUGUUGAAUCUGUUCACACAAUCGCAAUCACUUGUUCUUAUCGGAAAAUAAACCUGCAGAAAUCUAAAUUCACGACUGGACAGUUGACUCUUUCCCCUGCACUGCGUAAGAUUCGUCCCCCCUGGUGCCUCAGUGGCUAUUUUGAUUACGUUGCUUUGUUUGAUUUCUUAAUUUUCAAGUUAUUGUUUUAUUGAGGACAAAUCGCCACUACAAUAUGUAUUAUAUGUACUGUGUUAGAGUGUCAUUUUGUGUCAUUUUGGUUGGUGGUGUGCCCCAGGAUUUUGUAAAUGUAAAAA
ensembl:lncRNA